GGGCGGAUAGCUCAGUUGGUAGAGCAUCGCCCUUACAAGGCGAGGGCCACAGGUUCAAGUCCUGUUCCGCCUACCA
rnacentral:tRNA from 1 species